ensembl:snRNA U6 U6 spliceosomal RNA
GUCCUCGCUUCGGCAGCACAUAUACUAAAAAUUGGAACGAUACAGAGAAGAUGAGCAUGGCCCCUGCGCAAGGAUGACACGCACAUUCAUGAAGCGUUUCCUAUUUUG